UCCCGGAUCGUCUAAAGGCAGGACAACAGUUUUUGGUACUGUUUAUCGGGGUUCGAAUCCCUGUCCGGGAA
rfam:Candidatus Thrbacteria bacterium RIFOXYB2_FTLL_45_11 rifoxyb2_full_scaffold_8129, whole genome shotgun sequence.